GGAGCUCCAGUGGCGCAAUCGGUUAGCGCGCGGUACUUAUACGGCAGUACAUGCAGAGCGAUGCCGAGGUUGUGAGUUCGAGCCUCACCUGGAGCACGACCCUUUUGUAUACCCGCAUCUCGCUUUUAUCUCCUUGCUUAAGGAAUCUCGUCAGUCUUUUCUUUAGCUUCCUCAGUUCCUGUCUCUGACUCGCUGCCUACCAGUCCUGCUUCUAGGCAGACAGGAAGCUUUGGCGCUUCUUACUCUCUUUCCAAGCUACUUGUUGUCGCCGCUCACCACCUAGCCGCUGGAACCAGACAUUUGCAUCCUGCUCCCUCGUCCUAGGCAUGUCCUUUAACGGCCCCCAACUCUUGGUCCCGGUACCGGUGAUGCAGACAGGAGGUCCCGGGGCGCUGCACCGGUGCUGGGGUCCUCCCUGGGCCUCGGUCACUGACGAUCCCAGGCGCCCUCUCUAUGGGUCGUGCCUGAGCUCCCGGCUCAGGUUCCCGGCCGCUGCCCGAGCCGGGCCACCUCUCCGGGGAGCUGGAGCCCGAGGCCCAGAGCAGGGGCUCAAGGCGAGCGGUCGCUCUCCUCGCUUUUAACUACUACUAACUCGUCAUGGCCUCCUCCCUCCGACGUGCAGAGCCGCUAGACCGCAGGCUCUUCUCCCCUAUCCAGGCCCCAGGCCUCCAAGGCUCCCUGGGCGGACUUGCAGAGCUUGGGAAAAGUGCCUGGGCCGCUCCCUCCCCCUCCCCUGCGCCCCUUCUCCCGCGUGUCAGUCAGGAGUGGUGGAAUUUGCUGGCAGACCGGAGAACAGACGUUUUCUAGGGAUAUCCGAGCGGCGGGUGUCCUCUCAUGCUUGCCACCGUCCCAGGUUCAGAAGUCCUCCCGGGGAGCAGGAAAUCGGCCAGCACGCGAACACUCCUCGGAGGCGCGGGGGCUGCUUUGCCAAGGGGUGGGUGGGUACUCCACAUUCCCAGGAGGCAGGGCCAAGUAGGGAACAAGCUUAGUGGGGAUGAGAGGCCUCCUGGACGCGUUCUCCGGCAAGAGUGGUUUCAGCUGUUUUUUUGGACGUGCUAGUAGUUAACUCAUGGGAUAGAAAUACUACCGGGAGUGGUGAGAAACAAGACCUAGAAAGCUCAGAGAAAAGCAGAUGGAGAGUGGAGCUCUUGUCUGUCUUCUCGGCUCCUAACGGCAGCCCCAGAUUCGCAAUGAAGAGCCCCACGCCACAUGAAAUGUGAGCAAGUCCACCCACCUCAUCUACCCUGGCGGCCAGUUCCUCGUUGGACCAGAUCCCUUCUAUCAUAAGCUCCUCCUCAGCACAUGGUUAUUACUGGAAUGCUGGUGGUUUGGGCAACUCUUUUUCUGGUGAGAUGGUGCAGUGGGAAGGUACAUCCCACUUCCAGCGGGUUGUCCCUCGGUGCUGGCUUGGCUUCUUGGGAAAAGAGUGAAGAAUCAGAGCCUACACGCUGCUGCUGAGCUCCACAGCCUCCAUCUUGCCUCCUCCUGUUUAGACGAUGCGGGUCCUAGUUCUGGGAAGCCCUUCCACCGGAUCGCAGAGCCUCUCUGAACUUCAGGCUCCUCAUCUAUAAAAUGGACCUCCCAAGGUGGUGGUUUAGUGCUGUCAGGGACAUGUUGGCAGGAGGACCGUGUGAGCUGUUGUGUCCACAGUAGCCUGGAAAGGGUGAGGGCAAAGGGCUGGGGGACCGGUCAGAAGGCACCUACCACAAUCCAGGUAGGAGGUGACAGUGCUGCAGCCAGGCUGCACGGCGAAGGAUGGGAGGGGCCCCCGGAGAAACCUGAAUCAGGUACCACAGUAACGGGGAACGUGGAGGAGGGCGUGAUUCACUCCAAGGCCGCUUUCCCAGGGGAUGUGACUCAGGCAGGAUUUUGAAAAAUGAGCAGUUCAGCAGGCACUCAAGAGGGUGAGAACAUUCCAACACCGGUGUGCCGGGGCCCCAUUGAGAGGGAGCCAGGCCUGUUUGGGGACCUAUGAAGCAGCAUCACAUCAGAGCAGAAGGGUCAGGGAAGGCCAGAUGGGGAAGGAGCUCGCCGCUCUGCCAAGGGUGUUGUCCUCUGGGCGCCAGGGAGUUCAGGAAGAAUUUUAAGCCUGGGGGCCGGUGGUGCUUAAGACCUAAAACUUGCUAUUAAGAAAAGUCCCGUGGUCACCAUGAACGGCCUGGGGGGAGGUGGCAGGGAAAACCCAGAGGGGAAGCAGAAAAUGAGGGCUGACCCCGGGGCAGUGGGAGAGAGGGAAGGAGGCAUGAGAACCGUUUAGGGAGAAGAGAGGAUCAGGGCCGUGUGGGUUUGGGGAAAGAGGAGCAGGCUGUUUUGAGGAAGAGAAUGAGUCAUGUGGGGGCCGGCUGAAUUGGAGGAUCCGCUGGGGGAUCAGACAGCCAAGCCCCAGAGCAGCCAAUGUUGGAGUCUGGAGCUCAGCGGAGGGGACUUGGGUCCAGAAGCCUCAAGGGACAGGUGGCAUUUAAGCUGUGGAAGGCCACCAGCUAAAAGGCAUCUCCAGAUUUUUACCUUUAGUAAGAUCUGAAUAGAGGUAUAUUUCCCUCCUCUUUGCCUCUUUCCCAAGGCCUUUGAGAGAUACAGUGAGAAAAACAUUCUUGAGGGUAAAGAGGAGGGAUCCAGGAGGGGAUCCUCCUAGGGCAGCACGGAGGAAUCCCUGGGCUGGUCCCACUUCACCCCACGGUGUCUGCGGGCAGAGGGGCCUGGAUAGGCAGGGCUCUUGGUAUCCAUUGUCCGUGGGUCUCUGCAUGCAGAUAUGUAAAGUUAUGUGUUUUCAUCUCCCCGUGAUUCCUGUUUUCCUGCAGCCCUUCCCGCUGAGGCGUAUGGCCCAAUGAAGUUGGAGGGGUGAAUUCGAAGCAAGACCUCAAGCAGGGGGUGAAGCGGACAUGAUGUAGAGAAGCUGCUGCUGAUGGCAUGUGGACCAGAAAAGGGGGGCCUAAGGAAGAGAGAACAUGAGAAGCAAAAAGGGCAGCCCCUUAACCUUCAACCUCAGAGGCUCGUGUGGGAGAAACCCAGUCAGGUCUGAGGGGAGAUCUCACAGCAAGGGGGUGGGUGGGACUUGACUCAGAUUGCAGUGGGGAGAAAUUUUAAUGACACCCCCUCCCUAGCAAACCAGCGAUGCAAGAUGGUGCCAGCACAAUAUGGUGCCAGUCAGGAGGUGGUUUGGAAUGGCUGAGGAAGGGAGUCUGGGAAGUGGCUUCAUGCAACGCUGCUCGUUCUAGUGAGAAUGCAGCCAGGUAGUCCUAGGUCCCAGGGGCCGCAGAGCCAAGAUCUGCCUCACCAGCUAUGUGCAGGGACCAUGCACUUUGGCUUCACCUCUUCCUGCCCCUACCCCACCAGCAAGCCCCAGGGACCAGAACCAUCUCUGUCCUGCGUGUGUGUGUGUGUGUGUGUGUGUGUGUGUGUGUGUAAGAAUGCAGGGGACUCCACUCAGACCUUCAACCCUCUUGUCCCACCACCGUGAGGCCCAUGAACAUCUCUCUGCACCAGGAAAUUAUCUUGGCUGGGAGAAGGCGGAAGGGUGAGAAAACCUUGGAAUACUGAGCAAUUUUACUCAAAAGAGACUGAGUUAAUCAUACAGAAAUGGAGCUAUGUCUAAGGGGCAAUUUAAUGCUUUCUUUUUGUUUGUUUUCUUUUUGCCCGUCAGUAGUAGGAAUUAUCAGAUCACGAUGAGAAGAGUAUAAGAAAAAGUAAGAACAAUACUGAUUUGACCCAUCUGGGUAGGUGUGUGUGUGUGAUCUUUAGCCCUCCCACAAUUAUGUCUGUACACGUUUGCUGGGGCAACUGUAUAUUUUCAAUUCCAAUCGUCAGACCUUUCCUUGAAGCUCACGUGUGUUUUGAUCUGGCCAGGAAUUGAGAAUCAUAAAAUCAUUAAAUCUGUAUUAAUUACCUAUUGCUGCAUAGUAAGUUAAUCCAAAAUUUAGCUGAAAUAAAUAUGUAUUAUCUCACA
ensembl:lncRNA